rnacentral:rRNA from 1 species
UACGAAGGGGGCUAGCGUUGCUCGGAAUACUGGGCGUAAAGCGUGCGCAGGCGGUGAUGUAAGACAGAUGUGAAAUCCCCGGGCUCAACCUGGGAACUGCAUUUGUGACUGCAUCGCUAGGGUACGGCAGAGGGGGAUGGAAUUCCGCGUGUAGCAGUGAAAUGCGUAGAUAUGCGGAGGAACACCGAUGGCGAAGGCAAUCCCCUGGGCCUGUACUGACGCUCAUGCACGAAAGCGUGGGGAGCAAACAGG